GGUGAACGCUGGCGGCGUGCCUAAUACAUGCAAGUCGAGCGAACGGACGAGAAGCUUGCUCCUCUGACGUUAGCGGCUGACGGGUGAGUAACACGUGGAUAACCUACCUCUAAUACUGGGAUAACUUCGGGAAACCGGAGCUAAUACCGGAUAAUAUUUUGAACCGCAUGGUUCAAGAGUGAAAGACGGUUUUGCUGUCACUUAUAGCUGGAUCCGCGCUGGAUUAGCUAGUUGGUAAGGUAACGGCUUACCAAGGCAACGAUGCGUAGCCGACCUGAGAGGGUGAUCGGCCACACUGGAACUGAGACACGGUCCAGACUCCUACGGGAGGCAGCAGUAGGGAAUCUUGCGCAAUGGGCGAAAGCCUGACGGAGCAACGCCGCGUGAGUGAUGAAGGUCUUCGGAUCGUAAAACUCUGUUAUUAGGGAAGAACAGAUGUGGAAGAAACUCUGCACGUCUUGACGGUACCUAAUCAGAAAGCCCCGGCUAACUACGUG
rnacentral:rRNA from 1 species